AGAGAUAUAGCUUAGUGGUAGAGCACUUGCCUAGUGUGCAUGAGGACCUGGGUUCAAUCCCCAGGACCUCCC
rfam:Neotoma lepida isolate 417 scaffold_3778, whole genome shotgun sequence.